rnacentral:rRNA from 1 species
GACGAACGCUGGCGGCGUGCUUAACACAUGCAAGUCGAACGGAAAGGCGCUGCUUUUGUGGGUUUCUCGAGUGGCGCACGGGUGAGUAACACGUGAGUAACCUGCCCUUGACUUAGGGAUAACUUCAGGAAACUGGGGCUAAUACCGGAUAGGAGCUCCUGAUCCAUGGUGGGGGUUGGAAAGUUUCGGCGGUUGGGGAUGGAUUCGAGGGUUAUCAGCUUCUUGGUGGAGUAGUGGCUUACCAAGGCUUUGACGGGUAGCCCGCCUGGGAGGGUGAACGGCGACAAUGCGCCUGCGGGACGGCGCAGAAUGCUAUGUGCGGCAGUAGGCGGGAAUAUGGCACAACGGGCGGAAGUGUGAGGCGGCAACCUUGCGUGCGUGAUGACGGCCUUCUGGGUGUAAACCGAUGUCGACUGUGACGAAGCGUGAGUGACGGUAACGGGUAAAGAAGCAACGGCUAACUACGUG